rnacentral:rRNA from 1 species
UACGUAGGUGGCAAGCGUUGUCCGGAAUUAUUGGGCGUAAAGCGCGCGCAGGCGGUUAUGUAAGUCUGAUGUUAAAGCCCGGGGCUCAACCUCGGUUCGCAUUGGAAACUGCGUAACUUGAGUGCAGAAGAGGAAAGUGGUAUUCCACGUGUAGCGGUGAAAUGCGUAGAGAUGUGGAGGAACACCAGUGGCGAAGGCGACUUUCUGGUCUGUAACUGACGCUGAGGCGCGAAAGCGUGGGGAGCAAACAGG